GACGAACGCUGGCGGCGUGCUUAACACAUGCAAGUCGAACGGUAAGGCCCCAGCUUGCUGGGGUACACGAGUGGCGAACGGGUGAGUAACACGUGGGUGACCUGCCCCGCACUUCGGGAUAAGCCUGGGAAACUGGGUCUAAUACCGGAUAGGACCGCACCGUGAGGGUGUGGUGGAAAGUUUUUCGGUGUGGGAUGGGCUCGCGGCCUAUCAGCUUGUUGGUGGGGUAAUGGCCUACCAAGGCGGCGACGGGUAGCCGGCCUGAGAGGGUGGACGGCCACAUUGGGACUGAGACACGGCCCAGACUCCUACGGGAGGCAGCAGUGGGGAAUAUUGCACAAUGGGCGGAAGCCUGAUGCAGCGACGCCGCGUGGGGGAUGACGGCCUUCGGGUUGUAAACUCCUUUCACCAUCGACGAAGGUUUUCUGACGGUAGAUGGAGAAGAAGCACCGGCUAACUACGUG
rnacentral:rRNA from 1 species